rnacentral:rRNA from 1 species
UUGAACGCUGGCGGAAUGCUUUACACAUGCAAGUCGAGCGGCAGCGCGGGGGCAACCCUGGCGGCGAGCGGCGAACGGGUGAGUAAUGUAUCGGAACGUACCCUGUCGUGGGGGAUAACACAGCGAAAGCUGUGCUAAUACCGCAUACGACCUGAGGGUGAAAGCGGGGGAUCGCAAGACCUCGCGCGAUAGGAGCGGCCGAUAUCGGAUUAGCUUGUUGGUGAGGUAAAGGCUCACCAAGGCGACGAUCCGUAGCUGGUCUGAGAGGACGACCAGCCACACUGGAACUGAGACACGGUCCAGACUCCUACGGGAGGCAGCAGUGGGGAAUUUUGGACAAUGGGGGCAACCCUGAUCCAGCCAUUCCGCGUGAGUGAAGAAGGCCUUCGGGUUGUAAAGCUCUUUCGGCCGGGAAGAAAUCGUGGUCUCUAACAUAGGCCAUGGAUGACGGUACCGGACUAAGAAGCACCGGCUAACUACGU